AUGGAUAUGCACCCACAAGUAAUCUGCUGGAAUGUUAGGGGCCUUAACAAUCCAGCGAAGCGUAAGGCCGUUCGAGACAUUGUUAGCACGGUGAAAGUGAACUUGGCGUGUCUACAGGAGACGGAACUUGAUGUAAUUGAUCAAUAUAUGGUAAUGCAACGUUUGGGGCCAUCGUUUGAUGGUCAUGCUUAUUUGCCGGCGGUUGACACGCGGGGUGGGAUUUUGUUGGCAUGGGAUGGCACAACCCUCACCGUGGACAAUGUUGUGCUUAAUGACAACUUUCUCACCGGGUUGGUGCACACAAAAGUUGGGCAACCUUGGUGGAUUACGGUGGUGUAUGGCCCACAAGGGGAUGAGCUUAAAACCCAGUUUUUGGAGGAUCUCAAGAACCGGAGGGUCGGAUGCCUUGGACCGUGGAUGGUCCUGGGUGACUUUAAUAUGAUCAUCAGACCGACAGACAAGAAUAAUACCAACAUAAAUCGGAGGAUGAUGAGCAAGUUUCGAGAUUUUGUGGAUGAGCAUGAGCUCAAGGAGAUGUACAUGCACAGCAGAAGGUACACUUGGUCUAACGAGAGAGAUGCCCCGACCCUGACGAAGAUUGACGGAAUUCUCAGCACAGUAGAUUGGGAGUUAGAUAAUGCAGAAUACCUGCUUCAGGCGCUGUCUACAUGGGUCUCGGAUCACGCACCUCUCCUGCUCACCACAAGUGUUGGGUUCAGCCCUAAGCAUAGAUUCAGGUUCGAGAUGUUUUGGACCAAAUUGGAUGGUUUUGAGGAAGCUGUUACUGAAGCGUGGGUUUGUGACCCGGACAUAGUGGACCCUUACAAGAGGCUUGACACUCUUCUGCGCAAUACCGCACGUCACUUGCAGGCAUGGGGCCAGCGUAAAAUGGGCAAUGUUUAG
rnacentral:rRNA from 1 species